rnacentral:rRNA from 1 species
UCAAGCUAUGAAGAGCAAACGGUGGAUGCCUAGGCGCUAAGAGGCGAUGAAGGACGUGGUAGGCUGCGAAAAGCCUUGGGGAGCUGUCAAACGAGCGAUGAUCCGAGGAUGUCCGAAUGGGAGAACCCGUCAUGGUGAGAGCUGUGACACCUGCAUGAUGAACACAUAGUCGUGCGGGGGCGAACGCGGAGAACUGAAACAUCUAAGUACCCGCAGGAAGAGAAAGAAUAAUCGAUUCCCUAAGUAGCGGCGAGCGAACGGGGAAGAGCCCAAACCCACGAGAGUGUAAGCGUUACAGCGUUGCCUCGUGGGGGUAGUGGGAGUUGAGAGUCGGUGGGUGUAACACCGCCGGAUCUGUGUAAUAUAUUAAGCCGAAGCAGACAGGAAAGCUGCUGCCGUAGAGGGUAAUAGCCCCGUAGGUGAAUUUAUAUUGCGUGGAUGUCUUGACCACCCGAGUACGCCGGAACACGUGGAAUUCUGGUGGAAUCAGCGAGGACCACCUCGCAAGGCUAAAUACUGCUUAGCGACCGAUAGUGAACAAGUACCGUGAGGGAAAGGUGAAAAGAACCCCUGUGAGGGGAGUGAAAGAGACCCUGAAACCGUUUGUUUACAUACAGUGGGAGCCCUAGUCCGGGUGUAAGUCUGGAAGGGUGACUGCGUACCUUUUGCAUAAUGAGUCAGCGAGUUACGAUUUGUCGCGAGGUUAAGUCGUUAGAGAUGUAGCCGUAGUGAAAGCGAGCCUUAAUAGGGCUAUUAGUGUCAGGUCGUAGACCCGAAACCGUGUGAUCUAUCCAUGUCCAGGUUGAAAGAUCGGUAAUGCGAUGUGGAGGACCCAACCCACCAAGGUUGAAAACUUGGGGGAUGAGGUGUGGAUAGGGGUGAAAGGCCAAUCAAACUCGGAGAUAGCUGGUUCUCCCCGAAAUAUAUUUAGGUAUAGCCUAGCGAAUCUGUCUUGGAGGUAGGGCGCUGGAUGGGCUAGGGGCCUUCGUAAGGUUACCAACCCCAACCAAACUUCGAAUGCCAAGAUUGUGAUCGUUGGAGUCAGACUGCGAGCGAUAAGGUCCGUAGUCGAGAGGGUAAGAGCCCAGACCGCCAGCUAAGGUCCCCAAGUCCGGCUAAGUGGAAAAGGAUGUGAAAGCGCCGUUACAACCAGGAGGUUGGCUUAGAAGCAGCCACCCUUUAAAGAAAGCGUAAUAGCUCACUGGUCUAGCGAAUUUGCGCCGAAGAUAUACCGGGGCUCAAGCCGGGCACCGAAGCUGCGGAUCUGUGUAAACCAUAGAUGGUAGGGGAGCAUUCUGAAUGCAGCGAAGCGGUAUCGAUAAGACGUCGUGGAGCGUUCAGAAGGGCAGAUGCUGACAUGAGUAACGAUAAGACGAGUGAGAAACUCGUCCGCCGUAAGCUCAAGGUUUCCUGGGGCAGGGUUUUCCUCCCAGGGUUAGUCGGGACCUAAGGCGAGGCCGAAAGGCGUAGUCGAUGGGAAGCAGGCUAAAAUUCCUGCACCUCUUGGUGGUGUGUUUGAGCAUGAGUGAGGACGGAGAAAGUUAGGUCAUCCGGUAGAGAAGUUACCGGUGUAAGCCUGUAGGGUACGAGCGUAGGAGUCGCAAGGCACAAACGCGCUCGUUUAUGCCUGAGAGGUGAUGCGGCGGGGCAUCGCGCCCCUAUAAACUGACUGAUACUCAGCUUCCAAGAAAAGUCACGCAUGUGAAUACCCCAGGAGCUCGUACCGUAAACCAACACAGGUGAGCUGGAAGAGCAUUCCAAGGCGCUUGAGAGACCCCUGGUUAAGGAACUCGGCAAAUUAACACUGUAACUUCGGGAGAAGGUGUGCCUCCAUGGUUAGCGUCCCUACGCGGCGACGUGAAGCUUACGGAGGUUGCAGAGAAAUGGCGGUAGCGACUGUUUACUAAAAACACAGGACUCUGCGAAGUCUCGAAAGACGAAGUAUAGGGUCUGACGCCUGCCCGGUGCCGGAAGGUUAAGGGGACGUGUUAGUGGGUUAAUUCCCGCGAAGCUCUGAACUGAAGCCCCGGUAAACGGCGGCCGUAACUAUAACGGUCCUAAGGUAGCGAAAUUCCUUGUCGGGUAAGUUCCGACCUGCACGAAUGGCGUAACGAAAUACCACCCUGUUCUUUCUGGAAUCCUAACCUUAGAGCCCUGAAUCGGGCUUGGGGACAUUGUCUGGUGGGUAGUUUGACUGGGGCGGUCGCCUCCCAAAAAGUAACGGAGGCGUGCGAAGGUUCCCUCAGACUGAUUGGAAACCAGUCGUGGCGUAUAAAGGCGUAAGGGAGCUUGACUGCGAGAGAGACAUCUCGAGCAGGUGCGAAAGCAGGUCUUAGUGAUCCGGUGGUCCCGAGUGGAAGGGCCAUCGCUCAACGGAUAAAAGGUACUCCGGGGAUAACAGGCUUAUCUCCCCCAAGAGUUCACAUCGACGGGGAGGUUUGGCACCUCGAUGUCGGCUCA